UGCCGCCCCGGUCGGCGGGCGGCCCGGCCGGUCCGGACGGCCCCGGCCCCUGCUUCGGCCCCGGCUGCGGUUCGUCCGCGGGCCGCAGC
rnacentral:tRNA from 1 species